UCCAGACUCCUACGGGAGGCAGCAGUGGGGAAUAUUGCACCAUGGGGGAAACCCUGCUGCAGCGACGCCGCGUGGGUGACGACGUAUUUCGGUAUUUCCCGCCCUAUCAGCCUUGAAGAUAAUGCCGGUACCUGACUCCUCCGCCCCGGCUCCCUCCGUGCCAUCCUCCUCGGUAAUCCUGCUUGGGCAAGCUUUAUCCGGAUUUACUGGGUGUAAAGGGAGCGUAGGUGGCGUGCCAAGUCAGGAGUGAAAACCCAGGGCACAACCCUGGGACUGCUCUUGAAACUGGCAGGCUUGAGUGCUGGAGAGGGAAGCGGAAUUCCGAGUGUAGCGGUGAAAUGCGUAGAGAGGAGGAGGAACACCAGUGGCGAAGGCGGCUUACUGGACAGUGACUGACACUGAGGCUCGAAAGCGUGGGGAGCACACAGGAUUAGAUACCCGCGUAA
rnacentral:rRNA from 1 species